GUGAUUUGAUCUUCACCUUAUUUAUUAAGAAGAAUCAUUGUUUUAAGUAACAUUUAACUCUUUAGUCCUGUUGCUUAAGGUGAACAUACAAUGAUGAUUUCAAAGUUAUUUCUUGUUUUAAAAUGUUUGAUGUGUUAUAUAUAAUCAAGUGAUUAUUUCUUUGGUCAUUAUUUCUUAAACCUGGAUAAUGCUACAUACUGUGUUAAAAUGUAGCUUAUCUUUUAUUGUAAGUUUUGAACUUUAUUUUUAAGUUAGAUGUUUGUUUGUAGAAUGAAGAGAAUAUUUUAGUGUUUCAUUUGCCACAGAAUUGAAAGCUUUGAAGUUUUAUCAACUAAAAUUAUUUUAAUGAGAACAAAAAUUAAUUUUGUCCUGAGAAAAGUUAUGUACAUGUGGAAAAUUUUCUAAUUGCACUUCAAAGUCCCUUUGC
rnacentral:lncRNA from 1 species